rnacentral:lncRNA from 1 species
CCUUAAUAAAGUAUUUCGAAAAAUUAAUCAGAAAUAACACGAUGUUUUGAUUUAUAUCAAUUAUAUAAAUCAAAACAUAAAGGUUAUUCCUGAUUAAUUUUUCGAAUUAUUUUAUAAUUAAAGGCGUUGAGAAACCUUUGGUGACCCCACAGUUUAAAUGUCUAUCGUAGGUACGUCGUGAACAGUGGUCGUUACAGACAAACGUUCACGUAAAUUGUCCCAGUCAAUGGAUGAAUUUAAUGUGUCAAUCAAUGGCCACAGCCACACUGUUUUGAAUUUCAUUCUAAGAG